GCAAUCUCUCUUAGGUUAUGGUAUCGUUGCGACCUCUCUUAGGGGUUAUGUUUUCAUUUCGACUUCCUCUGUUAGUUCCUUUCACUCUCGCUUUCUCUGUGUUUGUGACUCUGUACCUCUUCUUUUUUAUCUUUUGAGAUUCUUGGCUGCUUCAAUCUGCACGAUGCACUACCCCGGGCUUCCCUGAAUGAGUAAUCAAUCGAUGACGACGAAAGCCCCAUUGCUCGUGCCAAAACAAUCCGACGUCAAGUGUUGCAGUUCAGCCAUUCUCUUUCUCCACGGCUGAGCUGUGUCAAAUCGACGCCCACAUCUCAAUCUCUCUCUCUUGAGAAUAAAUCUGUUAUUUCUUUCCUUAAUCUUUGCCUCGCUACACCUUUAGCUUGUUUUCUUGUUAUAGAUAGCGAUAUGAAAACAAGGCUAGUCUUUGAGGCAGAUAUUGAUUGCUCUUUGGCGGUUUUCACGUGGGGGUUUAUUUUUUCAAUGGUUUUGCCUCUAAAAAUAUCCGCUACAGGAGUGAGUUCUAAUGUACAAAUCGGCAGUGAUGAUGAAAUUUCAGCUUUAAAUGCCAGUUCUGCUUCUGAAGAUUCUUGAUUGAUAGAGCUGUUAUGUGAUCUGAGCCCAUCGGUACAUCAUAUAUGUCAAUUAAUGUUUUCUCAGCUUUUUGUGUUGAACCUGGUUUCAUCUCUUCGUUACAAGUGUUGGUUUUAUUCAAUGAUUUUGUUUGUGUACUUUAUUUCGUUCAUUGGAUUGGCGUAUUUAUUUAAUUCAAUGAUGACUGUCCACAUACAUGAGAUUAGUUAGCUUCAAGCCCCUGUUUACAGGGAGAACCUACUUGAGGCUGCUAUAUCAUUACUUGAAAGUAAUGGACCAUUCUGAGAAUACUCUUGCCAAACCAGGCAAAUUUCAAUCAUUUUCAAGUUCUCGUUCAAUUCUAUCUUAUAAUUUUGGUCUUGAUGCCUUAGGAUGCCAAUGAUGACCCAACUCUUUUGAGGUGUUGUGGAGCCAAUUCCUUGCCUUGCAAGGAGAACCUAGUUGGUGAAGCUACAUUUGAAAUGAUAAUUCAAGGGAUUUAACUGAGGCUCUACCUAAAUUGAAUUUUAAUUAUUUUAACGUAUGUUCGUCACUUUUUGGAAUUUUAAAAGAUUUAGGGAAUUUUAUUCUUUUGAAAUUCUGUUAAUUCUUCUAUAAGCGAGCUUGUUGUUGGCUCUAUUUCCUCUCUUUAGUCAUGUUGAUAUGCUUUAUGAUUUGGUGUUUGAUCGAUGGCCAAUGAUGUUACUUACAAUCCAACUUGUAUUUGGUACGCAAGAUCCAAGUCCCCCCAUCUUAUGGGGAGAACCUACUUGGUGAAUCUGCGUUUCCAAUGACUGAAAAUACAGAAACUGAGGUUCCUGAUUUCUAUCUUCUCUGUUGCCUUUGUCAGCUUUGAAUGUAGAACUGCUUUUGCGGUAACUAUGUGUACUACUUCAUAUAUCUCUGCCAAUUCUAUUUUCAUAUCGAGUUUUAACUAUACACUAGCCCCCUAAUGGGACUAGGGUCUGAAAAACUCGGAAAUUCUGUGUGGUCAUCAGCUUCUUCUCUUGUACAUUACGAGACUGGAGUUAAAUAACGGCACUAUAUUCCUGACUUGUAGUAAUAAUUCCUUGUUUAAUUCUGGGUUUUUGUUUGUUUUUUGUUUUUUGUCUGGUUAAAGUUUCCUUCCCGUUGAUUAAUUUUUUGAAUUAAUAUGGUUAUCUGGGUUGCUGAUUUAUUGUUAUCUUGAUUCUGAUUGUAAUGAGCCUUUUUUAAAUUUUGAUUAAAAUCACCAAAAAUUGGCUUGUUUCCUCUAUUUCCUUAAACCUUUUUCAACAUUGAGUAUCCAUCUACUUUAUAUAUAAUGAUAAAAGAUUAUUAGUUUAAUAUUUUUUAUCUAUUAUAUUUUUGUAUUUAGGCAUAUUAAUUAAUAAUUAUAUUCUAAUUAUAAACAAUAAUGGUCCUAAAAUAUUCGUUACCAGCCAAAUGUUUACAUUUUUCGUUCAACUAAUUUCUUUUGCUAGUCUUUCGUUUAGCUGUAUGACCCCCAAAUGAGUGAGAUCCAAAUGCAACAUCUUUUUUUUCUGCCUUGAUUGUGAUUAUUUUGUAGAGCUUUUUGACCUUAUAGAAGCAAGUUCCAACUCGGUAUUAAUCACAUCGACAGCACAGCAUCACCCCUGGCGACAGUACACAUCUUGACACAACUGGUCGUGUCCGCAGUUUACAAGACGUGGCAAGGAUGAAUUAGUUCAUGCAUUGAUACUACGCCAGGACUCUAUUUAUUAUGAUGUAUAAAAUCGCUAGUAGAUUCAAGCGACAAAUGUUAGGUCUAUUCAUCUUUUAAUAUAUAAAUUUUAUGGUUAAAUUCCGUUUCCACCACAAA